UACGGAGGGGGCAAGCGUUACUCGGAAUUAUUGGGCGUAAAGGGCGCGUAGGCGGUCUCGUGCGUCGAGGGUGAAAUCCCCGGGCUUAACCCGGGAACUGCCUUCGAUACGGCGAGACUUGAGUCCGGGAGAGGGGAGCAGAAUUCCCAGUGUAGCGGUGAAAUGCGUAGAUAUUGGGAGGAAUACCAGUGGCGAAGGCGGCUCCCUGGACCGGUACUGACGCUGAGGCGCGAAAGCGUGGGUAGCAAACAGGAUUAGAUACCCUGGUAGUCCACGCCGUAAACGAUGGGUGCUUGGUGUCGGGGGUAUCGACCCCUCCGGUGCCGAAGCUAACGCAUUAAGCACCCCGCCUGGGGAGUACGGUCGCAAGGCUGAA
rnacentral:rRNA from 1 species